rnacentral:rRNA from 1 species
UACGAAGGGGGCUAGCGUUGUUCGGAUUUACUGGGCGUAAAGCGCACGUAGGCGGAUCGAUCAGUCAGGGGUGAAAUCCCAGAGCUCAACUCUGGAACUGCCUUUGAUACUGUCGAUCUGGAGUAUGGAAGAGGUGAGUGGAAUUCCGAGUGUAGAGGUGAAAUUCGUAGAUAUUCGGAGGAACACCAGUGGCGAAGGCGGCUCACUGGUCCAUUACUGACGCUGAGGUGCGAAAGCGUGGGGAGCAAAACAGG